AGGUAAGUCUUUACAACUUAGCUGGUGGUCAAGACUUUAACAUUUAAGAGCACCAGGGAAUUUUGGAAAGGCUCAUGAACUUGGAGUCAUGGGAUGAGUUGACUGGCAUCUGGCCAUUGCAGCUGCUGUUUUGCUAAGCCCUAAUCAAUCCAAAUUGAAGAUUCUCAUUUUGUCCAAUAAGGGAUCUCACAGAGGCUUCUAGGACAGAAGAGCCUUCUAAACACCGAGCUAGCUCUGGCAAUGCAUGUGUCAAUCUCAUUAACACUCUGGACAUCCCUGGAAAGUAUACUGCCAAAGUGAGCAAACUUAUCACUAUUUGUUGUAACUGAUGGUUCCACAUAUAGAAAGAUAUAUCUAGAUAUAAAGAUAUAGAUAGAUAGAUAGAUAGAAUAUUUAUUAAAUUAUUUUCCAGUCACCAGAUAUAGUCUCUUGUAGUUUUCUUUAAUUCUUCUUUCUCCUUAGCCUUUGGCAACUGAUCAAUCACCAUCUUUCAUUGACUCUGUUCUUUCUUUUUCCUUUCCUCUCCUAGUUAUCACCUUUGUUACUGUUCAGGCUUUUUUUUUUUUUUUUUUUUUUUCCCAUUCAUGUUUGUGACCUCAUUUUGGAGUUUUCUUGGCAAAGACACUGAAGUGGUUUGCCAUUUCCUUCUCCAGAUCAUUUUACAGAUGAUAAAACUGAGGCAAACAGUAUUAAGUGACUUGUCCAGUGUCACACAGCUAGUAUUUGUCUGAGGCCAUCUUUGAGCUUAGGAAGGUAAGGCUUCCUGAUCUAGGACCUCACACCUGAAUUAUUAAACUAUAGAUUGAGAAUGAAAAGAAUCCUAUCUUACAUUCCCUAUCUCUGGGGAAUGGAACAUUUAGAAUGAUCUAAAAGAAUGAAUGAAAUUUAAUUAUCAAAUAAGUACCUGGCUAAUGCCAAAUGAGUGAUAUAAUCAGUCAACAAACACUUAUUAAAUAUUAUUAUGUGCAGGUGGUUGACUCAGUGUAUAAAGCACUAAUCCUGAGGUCAUGAAGUUCAAAUCCAACCUCAGUCACUUAUUAGCUGUGUGACAGUGAGCACGUGACAACCUCUGUCUGCCUCAGUUUCCUCGACUGUAAAAUCGGGAUAAUAAUAGCAGCUACCUACCAGAAUUAUUCUGAAAGUCAAAUGAGAUAAUUGCAGUAACUGCCUGACUUGCCUGUUGCCACCAGUCAUGUAUUUAUUUACAUUCAUAAUUAACUUUGCUUUAUAUUUGUCUUUCCUCUCCAAUUAGUUUAUAUAAUCUUCCUGAGGGCAGAAAUUGCCCAUGAUAUGCUUCUUUUUAUCAUCCACAGUGCUUAACACUGCAUCCUUCAAAUAGCAGAUGGUUCAUAGAUUCUUGUGAUUGAUCUAAAAAACACUUCAUGCUCUUCUCUUUCCCUUUUUGCAGAAAUUGAGGGGGAGACCCAUAGGUGUAAAAAGUUGCAUAUUUCCUGCAGGCAUGUUGGUUGAUUGUCUUUUCUACUGUUUUUGUUUUUGUUUUUUUCUUUUUCUCUGUUAUAGGGAAUGAUUUAUUGGCUAAGAAGAUUGAUUCAGAAAAGAAAGUGAUGUAAAAACAAUAAGAUAUCAAUAAAAAUAAAAAGCAUUACAUAAGGAAUGAACAAAUUAUGCUUUAUAGUUUGAAUAUUUCAAUCUUUUCAUAAUAUUUCUCCCAUAGUUGAGAGAGCUUCAAGACCCAUAAUAGGGGACUGACAAUAAGUGAAAGCCAGCCCCCUUCCAUCUUCCUUGGGAACAAAACACCCACCUGGCUCUACCUCCUACAUCCUGGAGCGUAAGUGGGUGGGCUAUGCCAGAUACAGCAAUUCUGAACUGUUUCAAAAUCCUUCUGUGUACUGGGAGUAUGAAGUGGAGCUUCCCCCCACCCAAGUUUCCUAGCAGCUUCCUGAUGCACAGCCCACAUGCUCUGCUGUUGAGGGGAGAGGAGAGCUGCUCCAACAGUCAUUUUAUUAAGGACUGGUCAUUUAAAAAGCAGGUACCAAUUAACUUACUAGGCUAGCGUGUGCUUUCAUUGCCCUAAUUGGCUUCCCCACUGCAGUGACAGAGCAGAAUGGGACUUUACAUUCCCUAGGCUUUAGAAAAGAAGAAAAGGGGUUUUAGGAGGUUGCUGAUAAAGCUGCCUUUAGGAUUCUAUAUGAAUAUGAUUAAACAUCAGAGACAGAAAGACAGAAACAGAUAGACAGACAGAUAGAAGAGAAACAGAGACAGACAGAAAGAAACAAAGAGAGAUACUCACAAAGAGGCAGAGCAAAAUAGAUGGAAAGGUUAUGUUUUUUAGUGGUCUACCUAGCAUGUAAACAGAUUAAAUUUAUAUUGGAGGAAUUAAGGGAUUGUUGAAUUGGAGAAAUUGAUCCAUAACAGGACAAUCUUAAAAAAAUGCAAAGAUUUCAAAGGGAAAAAGAAAGAAAAUGCUCCCAUAUUCCAUCAGAACAAUUGAAGUUCUAGCAGGUUAUACCAGACUGGCAAGGCUUACAGUAUUGGUUCAGGGAGGAACAUUUGACUUGACUCAGGAGAAAGAUCAGCUAAGUUCAGAAGGGUUCAUCAACAAGAAGUUGGUCAUUGGAGAUGAGUUUUUUGGCCACAGCCCAUGGAAAGGUUGGGAGUAUCAACCUGAAUGGAAUUAUUAGUCUUUCUAAAUGUUUCUUUUCAGAUAUUUUGACAUUUUUCAGUGAGUGCCUUGUUAGCCCCAAUAGGCACAAAAGCAAAGCAACAAGAUUUUGGGAAGUUAAACAUAUUAAUUUUUUAAGAUAGCACCAUGGUUCAUUGAAACAAAUAUAGAUCUAGAAGGAAGGACACCUGAAUUUGUGCUGAAAAAGAUCACAAAAGUUGUGCUGUCCAAUCCCUUCAUUGUACCCAUGAGUAAACUGAAAUGGGGAGGGGAGGGAAAGGGAAGGAAAAGAAAAGGAAGUGAAGAGAGAAAAAGAAGAGAGAGGAGGAAAGGGAAGAAAAGCAAAGAGGAGAGAAUGGAAGGAUAGAAGAGAGGAAAGGAGAGGUGAGAAGAGGAGAGAGAAGAAAAAAAGGGAAGAGGAGAGGAGAUGAAAGAAAAGGAAAGAAAAGAAAAAAGAGAAAAGAAAAGAAAAGAGGGAGGAAGGGAAAAGAGACAGUAGAGGGAUGGGAAGAAGAAGAGAGGAGAGAAGAAAAGAAAUUGAGUUAAAGGCCACUCACCCAAAGUCACAUAGGCAGUUAGUGGAGGAGAAUUGAGAUUUCAGCCCAGAUACUGACUCUCAAUCUAGCACUUUCCACUUCGGCUCUAAGCUGAGAUCUGUAGCUCCAUAACCAAGGGUGUGAUUCAUGUCAUUCUAUAGCCACAGGCCUCUCUCUAACAUCAAUGGAACCAGCCUGCUCAUUUCUUGGGGCCUCUGUGCUCUCAUCCAUAAAAUGACUGGGGUCAGUCUAGCUGAUCUGUCUGUAAAGUCCCUUCUAUGAAUGUUCGUAAAACAUAGUUUUGUGCUCAUAAACAUAGUCUUGUGACUUCCAGUCAAACAGGUUUUUACUUAAUUCAGACUCGGGAGUUGAACACUAAGAAUAACAUUUCCAUUUUCCUCAUUAAGAAAGUUAAUAAUGAGUCCAUUAAAAGAUUCUGAAAGUUUCUUUGUGCUUACAAAAACACUUGGUUCUGUGGUGCUUUCUUCACAAGCAAAAUAGAUCAUUAACAAAAAUUCUUGAGUUCAUGCUCAAAUAGUGAUAAAAACAUCAGAUAAGAACUUAAUAAAGAAAGAAAAGAGAAUCAUAGAUUUAGAGCUGGAGAUUUUAGAGGUCAUCUGAUGCAACUCCCUCUUUUCACAGAUAAGGAAACUAAGACACAAAGAAGGUAAGUGGCCCAGCCAAGGUCAGACACAUAGAAAAGCAAUAAGUAGGAAGUCAAAUAAGAAAAACCUCCAAAAAGGAUUCCUACUCCUGGCUCUACCACUAACCAGUAAUUAUUAGUUACUGUGUCAUUAGUCACCUCCCUGUAAUAUCCAUACCAUGCCAUUUUUACCCUGACCACCAUCUCUACCUCUGCCCCAGGAACUUUGGACUUCAUAUCUUAUAUUCCAUACUUAAAUGAUAGGCUCAUUUUUACCUAAUCUUAACAGGAUGCUUCCCUUUACUUCUAGACCAUCUCUAUCAAUGAAUGCCCUCACAAUUCCAGCUUUCAUCUCCACCAUCUUCUCUCCUUUCCAGCUCCCCAUUUAUCUGUUGUCUUUCCUCAUUAGAAUGCAAGUUCCUUGAGGGCAAAAGCCAACUUCAUUUCUUAUAAUGAUACCCCCUCCCCCCCCAGUACUUAGCACAGUUCCUGGCAGAUAGUAAGAAUUUUAUGAAUGAUUGUUAUCUAUCUAUAUUCAUUUAUCAUCUAUCUCUCUAUCCAGCCAUCUAUCCAUCUAUCUACCUAUCCACUUACCAUAUAACUAUCCAUUCAUGUAUCAAUCCAUUUGUCCAUCAUCCAUCCAUCCAUCCAUCAUUAUCUAUCUAUCCAUCUAUAUCCUCUAACUAUUCAUCCAUCUACAAUCUAUAUUUCAUUCAUCUAAUUAUCUAUCCAUUAAUCUAUUAUCCAUUUAUUAUCUGUCUCUAUCUAUCCAUUUAUCUAUCUGAUCUUGGGCAAAUAACUUCUUCUCUUUUGAGUCUCAGAUUUUUCCCUCUAUAAAAUAAGGAUUAUGUCCCCUCUCAGAACCCUUCUACUCCUAAAUUCUUUGAUUCCAUUAAAUAAUGAUUUCAAGAGACACUAUGCAGUUGCCUUUGGAAUAAAGAUAUUUUAUAGCAAAUAUUUGUAAAUCAGUGUUUUUUGAGUGUCGAAGGAGAAAUUUCACUAGGAAAGGGAAAAUUCUUAAAAAAAAAAAAAAUCCAAGGGAAAAAAUGUUUUCACAUUGGUUAAUCUUUUAGUUCCUGGAAUUUCUGCUGCUUAGAUGUUUACAUCCUGGAAGGAAAGUUCUUGGGUUUUUUUUUUUUUCCCCUUUUCUUUCUUUUUUUUUGUGAUACCAGAUCUCUUUGUUUACAAAAUCAACACACUUCAAAAGAACCUUUAGUCCCAAGAAUAGAGACCAGAAAAGAAAAUUCCUGGAUUCCACAAGUGUCAACACAGCAAAAAUAAAAGAAAAGACAGUAGACAUAUCUUUUUAAAUAAUAAAAUCAAAACAGCUUUUCUUCUUGCCACAGCCAGUGAUUCUAUUCAAAUGGUUUAUUAAAACACAUGUAUGUGCAACAACAACAACACAACUUUCUAUUUAUAAGCUCUACAAUCACAUCAUGUCAAGGUCACAGUGCACACUAAGAAAAUGAA